GACGAGCCACACGAACGUUUAUUCGGAAUUACUGGGGCUUAAAGGGUGCGUAGGCUGCGCGGAAAGUUGGAUGUGAAAUCCCGGGGCUCAACCCCGGAACUGCAUUCGAAACUGCCUUGCUCGAGUACUGGAGCAGGAGACUGGAAUUUACGGUGUAGCAGUGAAAUGCGUAGAUAUCGUAAGGAAGACCGUGGCGAAGGCGAGUCUCUGGACAGUUACUGACACGAGGCACGAAGGCCAGGGGAGCAAACGGG
rnacentral:rRNA from 1 species